rnacentral:tRNA from 1 species
CGGGACGUAGCUCAGCGUGGACAGAGCACCGCGUUUGGGUCGCGGAGGUCGCCGGUUCGACUCCGGCCGUCCCGA